rnacentral:rRNA from 1 species
UGGCCUACGGGACGCAGCAGUGGGGGAUAUUGCACAAUGGGGGGAACCCUGAUGCAGCGACGCCGCGUGGGUGAAGGAGUAUUUCGGUAUGUAAAGCCCUAUCGGCAGGGUAGAAGCAAGACGGUACCUGACUAAGAAGCCCCGGCUAACUACGUGCCAGCAGCCGCGGUAAUACGUAGGGGGCAAGCGUUAUCCGGAUUUACUGGGUGUAAAGGGAGCGUAGACGGCAGCGCAAGUCUGGAGUGAAAUGCCGGGGCUCAACCCCGGAAC